GUCAAGUCAGCAUGACCUUUAUAUCCUGGGCUACACACACGCUACAAUGGCCAACACAAUAGGUUGCUAAGCCGCGAGGUGGCGCCAAUCCAUAAAGUUGGUCUCAGUUCAGAUUGUAGGCUGCAACCCGCCUGCAUGAAGAUGGAGUUGCUAGUAACCGCAGGUCAGCUAUACUGCGGUGAAUACGUUCCCGGGGCUU
rnacentral:rRNA from 1 species